rnacentral:rRNA from 1 species
GAUGAACGCUGGCGGCGUGCUUAACACAUGCAAGUCGAACGGAAAGGCUCCUGCUUGCAGGGGUACUCGAGUGGCGAACGGGUGAGUAACACGUGGGUGAUCUGCCCUGCACUUCGGGAUAAGCCUGGGAAACUGGGUCUAAUACCGGAUAGGACCACAUUUUGGAUGGUGUGGUGGAAAGUUUUUCGGUGUGGGAUGAGCUCGCGGCCUAUCAGCUUGUUGGUGGGGUAAUGGCCUACCAAGGCGUCGACGGGUAGCCGGCCUGAGAGGGUGUACGGCCACAUUGGGACUGAGAUACGGCCCAGACUCCUACGGGAGGCAGCAGUGGGGAAUAUUGCACAAUGGGCGCAAGCCUGAUGCAGCGACGCCGCGUGGGGGAUGACGGCCUUCGGGUUGUAAACUCCUUUCGCUAGGGACGAAGCGCAAGUGACGGUACCUGGAGAAGAAGCACCGGCUAACCACGUG